GGAGUUUGAUCCUGACUCAGGAUGAACGCUGGCGGCGUGCUUAACACAUGCAAGUCGAACGAUCCUUCGGGAUAGUGGCGGACGGGUGAGUAACGCGUGGGAAUCUGCCCUCAGGAGGGGGAUAACGGCUGGAAACGGCCGCUAAUACCCCAUAUGCCGAGAGGUGAAAUGAAUUUCGCCUGAGGAUGAGCCCGCGUCUGAUUAGCUAGUUGGUGGGGUAAUGGCCUACCAAGGCAACGAUCAGUAGCUGGUCUGAGAGGAUGAUCAGCCACACUGGGACUGAGACACGGCCCAGACUCCUACGGGAGGCAGCAGUGGGGAAUUUUCCGCAAUGGGCGAAAGCCUGACGGAGCAACGCCGCGUGAGGGAUGAAGGCCUCUGGGCUGUAAACCUCUUUUCUCAAGGAAGAAGACCUGACGGUACUUGAGGAAUAAGCCACGGCUAAUUCCGUGCCAGCAGCCGCGGUAAUACGGGAGUGGCAAGCGUUAUCCGGAAUUAUUGGGUGUAAAGCGUCCGCAGGCGGCCUUGUAAGUCUGUUGUUAAAGCGUGGAGCUCAACUCCAUUUAAGCAAUGGAAACUACAAGGCUGGAGUGUGGUAGGGGCAGAGGGAAUUCCCGGUGUAGCGGUGAAAUGCGUAGAUAUCGGGAAGAACACCAGUGGCGAAGGCGCUCUGCUGGGCCAUAACUGACGCUCAUGGACGAAAGCCAGGGGAGCGAAAGGGAUUAGAUACCCCUGUAGUCCUGGCCGUAAACGAUGAACACUAGGUGUCGGGGGAAUCGACCCCCUCGGUGUCGUAGCCAACGCGUUAAGUGUUCCGCCUGGGGAGUACGCACGCAAGUGUGAAACUCAAAGGAAUUGACGGGGGCCCGCACAAGCGGUGGAGUAUGUGGUUUAAUUCGAUGCAACGCGAAGAACCUUACCAGGGUUUGACAUCCUGCGAACCCCUGAGAAAUCGGGGGGUGCCUUCGGGAGCGCAGAGACAGGUGGUGCAUGGCUGUCGUCAGCUCGUGUCGUGAGAUGUUGGGUUAAGUCCCGCAACGAGCGCAACCCACGUCUUUAGUUGCCAGCAUUCAGUUGGGCACUCUAGAGAGACCGCCGGUGAUAAACCGGAGGAAGGUGUGGAUGACGUCAAGUCAUCAUGCCCCUUACAUCCUGGGCUACACACGUACUACAAUGCUACGGACAAAGGGCAGCAAGCUCGCGAGAGUUAGCAAAUCCCAUAAACCGUGGCUCAGUUCAGAUCGUAGGCUGCAACUCGCCUACGUGAAGGAGGAAUCGCUAGUAAUCGCAGGUCAGCAUACUGCGGUGAAUACGUUCCCGGGCCUUGUACACACCGCCCGUCACACCAUGGAAGUUGGCCAUGCCCGAAGUCGUUACUCCAACCCUUGUGGAGGAGGACGCCGAAGGUGGGGCUGAUGACUGGGGUGAAGUC
rnacentral:rRNA from 1 species